rnacentral:rRNA from 1 species
AAGACCUUGCGCUUUUGGAGCGGCCGAUGCCUGAUUAGCUUGUUGGUAAGGUAAAGGCUUACCAAGGCUUCGAUCAGUAGCUGGUCUGAGAGGACGGCCAGCCACACUGGGACUGAGACACGGCCCAGACUCCUACGGGAGGCAGCAGUGGGGAAUUUUGGACAAUGGGGGAAACCCUGAUCCAGCCAUGCCGCGUGAGUGAAGAAGGCCUUCGGGUUGUAAAGCUCUUUCAGCCGGAACGAAACGGUUACGGAUAAUACCCGUGACUACUGACGGUACCGGAAGAAGAAGCACCGGCUAACUACGUGCCAGCAGCCGCGGUAAUACGUAGGGUGCGAGCGUUAAUCGGAAUUACUGGGCGUAAAGCGUGCGCAGGUGGUUUUGUAAGUCAGAUGUGAAAGCCCCGGGUUCAACCUGGGAACU